rnacentral:rRNA from 1 species
GACGAACGAUGGCGGCGUGCUUAACACAUGCAAGUCGAACGAAGUGGCGAACGGGUGAGUAACGCGUAAUCAACCUGCCCUUCAGAGGGGGACAACAGUUGGAAACGACUGCUAAUACCGCAUACUGAAGGAGGGGAUUGCGUCUGAUGAGCUAGUUGGAGGGGUAACGGCCCACCAAGGCGAUGAUCAGUAGCCGGUCUGAGAGGAUGAACGGCCACAUUGGGACUGAGAAACGGCCCAGACUCCCACGGGAGGCAGCAGUGGGGAAUCUUCCGCAAUGGACUAAAUGCUGACUGAGCAACUCCGCGUGAGUGAUGACGGCCUUCCGGUUGUAAAGCUCUGUUAAGCGGGACGCGGUACCGGAAGAGAAAGCCACGGCUAACUACGUGCCAGCAGCCGCGGUAAUUC